UUAAGCAGAAUAGAAAGAGGAGUGGGAGGUCCCGGUGCACAACUGAGCAAGAGGACAAGUACAUUAGAGUGUCUAGUUUGAGAAAAAGAUGCCUCACAAGUCCUAAACUGACAGCUUCACUAAAUAGUACCCGCAAAACACCAGUCUCAACGUCAACAGUGGAGAGGCGACUCCGGAAUGCUUGUCUUCUAGGCAGAGUUCCUCUGCCCAGUGUCUGUGUUCUUUUGCCCAUCUUAAUCAUUUAUUUUCAUUGACCAGUCUGAGAUACGUCUUUUUCUUUGCAACUCUGAAUAGAAGACACGCAUCCUACAACAAGGAACUUUGGUCCCAAAUGAGGACCCAGCCGAGAAGAGAUCAACAUCCGACGAGCUUCUCCUUCACGUCUCUAUGGAUUAAAAUGACAGCUGAGCUGCUAGCAAAGUGGGAAAGGGAAGUGUGGAGUGCAAUAGAAAUGGCAACAUCUGUGGAUCUGUUGGAAGAAACCUAGAGAGGAUCCAGGCUCUGAGGGGUGGUUAUAAGAGUACAUCUACAUUAAGGCCAGACUGUUCAAAACCACUGGACGAG